rnacentral:rRNA from 1 species
AGAGUUUGAUCAUGGCUCAGAACGAACGCUGGCGGCAGGCUUAACACAUGCAAGUCGAACGCAUCCUUCGGGGUGAGUGGCAGACGGGUGAGUAACGCGUGGGAACAUGCCCUUCAGUUUGGAAUAACCCAGGGAAACUUGGGCUAAUACCGGAUACGCCCUUAGGGGGAAAGAUUUAUCGCUGAAGGAGUGGCCCGCGUCUGAUUAGCUAGUUGGUGAGGUAAUGGCUCACCAAGGCGACGAUCAGUAGCUGGUCUGAGAGGAUGAUCAGCCACACUGGGACUGAGACACGGCCCAGACUCCUACGGGAGGCAGCAGUGGGGAAUAUUGGACAAUGGGCGCAAGCCUGAUCCAGCCAUGCCGCGUGAGUGAUGAAGGCCUUAGGGUUGUAAAGCUCUUUCGGCGGGGACGAUAAUGACGGUACCCGCAGAAGAAGCCCCGGCUAACUUCGUGCCAGCAGCCGCGGUAAUACGAAGGGGGCUAGCGUUGUUCGGAAUCACUGGGCGUAAAGGGCGCGUAGGCGGCCAUUCAAGUCGGGGGUGAAAGCCUGUGGCUUAACCACAGAAUUGCCUUCGAUACUGUUUGGCUUGAGACCGGAAGAGGUAAGUGGAACUGCGAGUGUAGAGGUGAAAUUCGUAGAUAUUCGCAAGAACACCAGUGGCGAAGGCGGCUUACUGGUCCGCUGACGCUGAGGCGCGAAAGCGUGGGGAGCAAACAGGAUUAGAUACCCUAGUAGUCC